rnacentral:rRNA from 1 species
GACGAACGCUGGCGGCGUGCUUAACACAUGCAAGUCGAACGGAAAGGCCCUGCUUUUGUGGGGUGCUCGAGUGGCGAACGGGUGAGUAACACGUGAGUAACCUGCCCUUGACUUUGGGAUAACUUCAGGAAACUGGGGCUAAUACCGGAUAGGAGCUCCUGCUGCAUGGUGGGGGUUGGAAAGUUUCGGCGGUUGGGGAUGGACUCGCGGCUUAUCAGCUUGUUGGUUGGGUAGUGGCUUACCAAGGCUUUGACGGGUAGCCGGCCUGAGAGGGUGACCGGCGACAUUGGGACUGAGAUACGGCCCAGACUCGUACGGGAGGCAGCAGUGGGGAAUAUUGCACAAUGGGCGGAAGCCUGAUGCAGAAACGCCGCGUGCGGGAUGACGGCCUUCGGGUUGUAAACCGCUUUCGCCUGUGACGAAGCGUGAGUGACGGUAAUGGGUAAAGAAGCACCGGCUAACUACGUG